GAUGAACGCUGCCGGCGUGCCUAAUACAUGCAAUUCGAGCGAACAGACGAGGAGCUUGCUCCUUUGACGUUAGCGGCGGACGGGUGAGUAACACGUGGGUAACCUCCCUAUAAUACUGGGAUAACUUCGGGAAACCGGAGCUAAUACCGGAUAAUAUUUCGAACAGCAUGGCUCGAUAGUGAAAGAUGGCUCUGCUAUCACUUAUAGAUGGACCUGCGUCGUAUUAGCUAGUUGGAAAGGUAAAGGCUUACCAAGGCAACAAUACGUACCCGAGCAAAGAGGGUGAACGGCCACACUAGAACUGAGAUACGGUCCAAGAUCCCACGGGAGGCAGCAGUAGGGAAUCAUCCGCGAUGAGCGAAAGCCUGACGGAGCAACGCCGCGUGGGGGAUGAAGGUCUUCGGAUCGUAAAGCUCGGUUAUUGGGGAAGAACAGACGUGUAAGUAAAUGUGCACGUUUUGACGGUACCUAAUAAGAAAGCAACGGCUAACUACGUG
rnacentral:rRNA from 1 species